CAACAAUUCACUGGAAAUCUAUUAACUUCCAUGCCAAGUUGCCAACACACGCAUACGGUAAAUGCAGGGGCGGGGUCAGAGGGCAAGGGAGGCUUGUUUUGUGUUGUGACCAUACGCUGAAGGAUUAGCUAUUUAAAGACGCGGAGUCGACAGUGGAAAAUUUCCAUGUUCUUGCUGUAUCAAAGGGAGAGUGACAGACGCGCUACAAGGCAGGUUGCUUAUACACCAUAAUUUGUCAGGGGAAUGAGCUCUGACUGCCUCGAGACAUCAAACCGGAAGCAAAUUAUACAAUUUCUAGGACAAUUCUAAAGAAACAAACUCACUACAAAACUCACUAUAAAUUCAUACCGUUUUGAUCUUUGAUUUCCAGACUGGCUCCUCUAGCUGCUGCACCAAUGGGUGUGAAGGUUCUCCAGUGUUUUCCCUGGUACAAGAGGUGUAAAGACAAGGUCAAGAGCAGAGACUGCCUCCCUAAAGAGGUUCCAUCCAUUGAGACAGAGCCCCAGUUUGCCCCGUCAACCUAUGCCAGUGAUGGUGCUGGAGGAGGAGUUGUCUACUUUUCCCACAAGGCAAGAGUGGCCUACAGACAUCAGAUGGAGGGCAACGUUAUAGACACCACCUACUGAGCCCCCAACCUCCAGCCCCUGCUGCAAAAACACCCCUCAAAGACUGUCUGCUCAGAAGCAUCUUUGUCUUACAACAGACAGUAUCCCAGUUCUUCAAUGAUCGUGUCUGGACAGAAGAAUACUAAAAUGAUGGUCAAACAUAAAAUGGUCAGAAAACUGUUCUUGUUUUUAUUUGAGGAGCUUAGUUCAGCUGAAGGUUUGAGAUAGGUGCUUGACUAAAGAUGGAGGCUAAGAAGCACUACUGAGAACUAUCUGAUAGCCAUUAGAACAUAUUUGACAGAUGGGAGAAAACACUUUUAGAUAGGGGUUGAGAAUCUUUGUUUACGCUAUUACCUUGAAGUGCAUUCUUCUUGUUUUCCUGUCGUUUUAUAAUUUGUCACUUUAUUUAUUGUUCUAGGGUCAAAGUUGUGUACGUGUGUCUGCUAUACACCUAAUGGUUUUGCAUAUUUUUUGGGGCAUGUUUUGUAAUGGUCCAUUUUCUGUAAAAUCCCAUCUAGAAACUAGGGUUGUAGACUGGCCAUAACUAAUACACAGCUAUAAGAUGAAUGUAAUAAUAACUCAAUGAUUACUGACACUUUAUAUUCUAUUUGUAUUGUUGCUAUGAAAUAAUCAACAAAAGACUAAUGCUGCAUUGCUAGUAAUGUGACAAGUGACUUUUUAAAUAGUUUUGGAUAGCUGCAAAUAAAUGUUUUUGCCGUUUGAUUAUGUAACCCUUUCUAAUGUGUCUUUCUAGUUCGGCACAUGAUCUCUGUUAUCCUAUCGCAUCCUUU
rnacentral:lncRNA from 13 species